UGGACCGGCCCCAAGAAAACAGGCCCAAAGACCCAUGGGAUUGGGGCGGCACAAGAAGACUCCUAACCGGAGUCUUCUUCCCCAUUUCCGGCGGAUUCGGGGCCAGCGAGAGUCCGGCUUAGACUGGGACUCUCGUCUAUAAAAGCUCCCUCCCUUUCCCUUAAGAUCUCCACCUAGAAUCCUUUGGGGAGCCGUGGGAAUUAGAGGGUGUUGGGGUUCGUUCCGUGGGAAAGUGCUGCCCAGAAAAGCUAGUCGGAAAUCUCGCCGGAAACCUUGUGAGGCCGCCGGAUCUUGAUUUUCCCCAACUACUGAUGGUAUAUCAAGGCGUGGAUGGGAAGGAGGAAGCUGCAGUGGGCAAGUACUCGGAAAAGAAGCAGGGAACAGGAUCGGGAUGUUGAACCAAGGAGAGGGGACAGGGAGAAUGCUGAGAGGAAGACAUCCAUAUUUUAGAAAAUAAUUAAAAAUGAUAAAUAGAUAAGCUAUUAAAAAUUAAUUAAGAUAAAUUUCAUCCAGUAACAUGGGACAGAUAGGAUUAAUCUUCAUGUUUUGUCAAAAAAAAAAAAA